rfam:Dipodomys ordii contig_5265, whole genome shotgun sequence.
GGUGGCUUAGUGGUAGAGCGCCUGCCUUGCAUACAUGAAGCCCUGGGUUCGAUUCCUCAGCACCA